UGGGGAAUUUUGGACAAUGGGCGAAAGCCUGAUCCAGCAAUGCCGCGUGUGUGAAGAAGGCCUUCGGGUUGUAAAGCACUUUUGUCCGGAAAGAAAUCCUUGGCUCUAAUACAGUCGGGGGAUGACGGUACCGGAAGAAUAAGCACCGGCUAACUACGUGCCAGCAGCCGCGGUAAUACGUAGGGUGCAAGCGUUAAUCGGAAUUACUGGGCGUAAAGCGUGCGCAGGCGGUUUGCUAAGACCGAUGUGAAAUCCCCGGGCUCAACCUGGGAACUGCAUUGGUGACUGGCAGGCUAGAGUAUGGCAGAGGGGGGUAGAAUUCCACGUGUAGCAGUGAAAUGCGUAGAGAUGUGGAGGAAUACCGAUGGCGAAGGCAGCCCCCUGGGCCAAUACUGACGCUCAUGCACGAAAGCGUGGGGGAGCAAAACAGGAUUAGAUCACCCGUGGUAGUCCACGCCCUAAAACGAUGUCAACUAGUUGUUGGGGAUUCAUUUCCUUAGUAACGUAGCUAACGCGUGAAGUUGACCGCCUGGGGAGUACGGUCGCAAGAUUAAAACUUAAAGGAAUUGACGGGGUCAAGCUG
rnacentral:rRNA from 1 species